GGGCUGUCAAAUGUACAGUUUAAUUGCAGCUCAAAAUGCUUUCAAUUGCAAAACAUACACUUUUAAUUGUACUUCUGUUGUAUGUGGUGCCUUCGCCAAUUGUGGCAGUUGGUCAAGUGAAGUCUAUCCUUUCUAAUCUUGUUGGAAAUUUAACUGGAGAUGUGGCUUCCGAGAUUGUUUGCGUUCAGAACGGCGUAGAAGUUGCUUUGAAGGAUUUGCUGAAUGGCGUCACAGAUGGCACUUUGGGGGACACGGUGACAGCAGUCAUAGGGCCAGUUUUGACAAAAAUUUAUACUUCGUUAGAAAAUAUUUUGGCUGAGGUAAAUAGUUUGCUUGCCGCUAUCCCUUAAAGUUUUAAUAUUGAAGAAAAUAUUAAAUAAAUAAAACCAUGAAUAUUCUAA